CCAAUAGCGUAUAUUAAAGUUGUUGCAGUUAAAAAGCUCGUAGUUGAAUUUCGGGAUUGACGUGAUGGUCAUGCCUUAAGGGGUAUGAACUGUCGCUGUUGAUUUCUCACCUUCUGGAGAAACUUGAUGUCCUUUAUUGGGUGUCUUGCGGAUCCAGGACCUUUACCUUGAAAAAAUUAGAGUGUUUAAAGCAGGCAUGUUUGGUCGAAUACAUUAGCAUGGAAUAAUAGAAUAGGACGGCAUGGUUCUAUUUUGUUGGUUUCUAGGAUCACCGUAAUGAUUAAUAGGGAUAGUUGGGGGCAUUAGUAUUCAAUUGUCAGAGGUGAAAUUCUUGGAUUUAUUGAAGACUAACUACUGCGAAAGCAUUUGCCAAGGAUGUUUUCAUUAAUCAAGAACGAAAGUUAGGGGAUCGAAGACGAUCAGAUACCGUCGUAGUCUUAACCAUAAACUAUGCCGACUAGGAAUCAGACGAUGUUAAUUUUUUAAUGACUCGUUUGGCACCUUACG
rnacentral:misc_RNA from 1 species